CGUAGGAUAGUUGACGUGUUUAUGAAGAUGUAUAUGCAAAAUAUAGAUAAUUAUUAUUGUGUGUGUGUGUGUGUGCAUAGGUGUGUAUGUGUGUGUGUGCGUGCGCGUGUGUGUUUAUAUAUGAUUAUGUGUGUGUACGUUUGUUUGUGUGUUAGUCAUCUUGGGAUUGUGUGUUAGUCCAAUGACUUCGAGAUGCUUCAGAAGGGGGUUUUAUCUGUUUUGUUUUCAGUACAUAAUUAUACUUCCCCUCCAAACACAGAAGAGCUACGUGAUGUCAUGGCUUCAUCUGUGGCCCCAGAUGUAUUUCUGCCGCCUCACUCUCUCCGCCUCACCACUCUCUCUCUCCCUCUCCAUAAAUGUCUCUCACUCUCUUCUUGUCUCAAUCCGUCACCCCCCCCGACCGACUUUAAGAUAUGUUUAGCCAGCCAGUCAUGAGGUAGAUACAGUCACUAUGAAGGAAUCCUGACGACCUCUACAUGUGAGAGAGCCCACCUCCCCUGAGAUGAACCAGAGCAAUGUGCAAUAGAUAGACACUCUCCUUCCUACCCUGUGCCACACAUUUGCAACCCAAUUAGAAUCGUGCAUUUUAUCUCACACUUACUGCUCCUACCGCUUUGAUUUGUUUGAGCGUUUGUUUUCUACCCGAUUUCGACCUUUGACAUAUAUCUCUUUGUCAUGUCGAUCAUACUCAGCUGCAAAGUGAGUUUGCCUUGCGGUAAAAAUAAAAACUGUCUGCCUCUCUCCCUCUGUCUCUGCCUCCUCCCCCCUCUCUCCCUUCCUCCCGUCUGUCUCCCCCCCUCCCACUCUCUACCAGUAACUCAGGUUUAUUAGUAACCUUUGAUAGAGGGACAAGGUGACUGCUUUUCAGGACGACAUGAGACAGAAGCAUCAUGCUGACCCACGCACACACGCACACACACUAUGAUAAACACACCCACACACACGCACUCAAACACACACACACCCACACACACACACACUCAGAUAGAUAGACACACACACACGCACACGCACAACACACUAACACACACCCACACCCACACAGCCAUACACACUCUCACACACAUUGUCGUCUUCAGUGAUGGCGUCGUCCACUGUAGGGCUCCAUGGAUCAAAUGAGUGUGUUCAUGCAGGUGUGAGCGUGUGUGCUUCAGGCAAGGACAUGACACCCGUUUAUCACAGGUGUCCCGCCCUUGACCCGGAAAGGGCCCCCCGAGUAUAAUGUAACGACGUGUGUGUGUGUGUGUGUGUGUGUGUGUGUGUGUGUGUGUGUGUGUGUGUGUGUGUGUGUGUGUAGGCCUAUGUCUGGUGAUGUUGUGUAAGCUGGUGUGGAGGUGGAGGAGGCAUUGUUGGGUUGGUGGGGUCUGGUUAUGGACGGAGGUGGUGAUAGGUGUGUGUGGUUGGUUGGAGGUGGUGUUUGGUGUGUAUGGUGGGGUUGGCUGUGUGUGGUGGUGUUGUGUAGAGGUGCUGGUGUUGUGUAGAGGUGCUGGUGUUGUGUAGAGGUGCUGGUGUUGUGUAGAGGUGGUGGUGUUGUGUAGAGGUGGUGGUGUUGUGUAGAGGUGGUGUUGUGUAGAGGUGCUGGUGUUGUGUAGAGGUGCUGGUGUUGUGUAGAGGUGCUGGUGUUGUGUAGAGGUGGUGGUGUUGUGUAGAGGUGCUGGUGUUGUGUGGAGGUGCUGGUGUUGUGUAGAGGUGCUGGUGUUGUGUAGAGGUGGUGGUGUUGUGUAGAGGUGCUGGUGUUGUGUAGCGGUGCUGGUGUUGUGUAGAGAGGUGGUGUUGUGUAGAGGUGCUGGUGUUGUGUAGAGGUGCUGGUGUUGGGUGGUGUUAACACCACAGGCGGUGUGAGGACCGAGGUGUCUCAGGGCUCUGCUGGACUGCAGCCGGUGUGUCGCUGAACAAAUGUUUUCCUCUGUU